AAAGGUCCAUAUUGGGUAGCUUCUUACAUGAUAGAAGAUAAUGGUCGUGGCUCGAGCACCCAAGAUUUUAUGACAUCAUUAGAAGCAAAAUAUAAACAUAAGGAUAAUACAAAUCCAAGGGCCAGUGGCAUAGCCUGUUACGCAGACGCUCUGUCAAACUUGCAGCGCCGCUUUAUGUGUUCAUAAAUCACCGAGUCAACAAGCGACACCAAAACAGUCUCUCCUCCGUUUCUCUGGUGGCCAUCAGGUGGCUCAUUCCCCCACGACCGAGGGUUUGCGCUCAAACGCGUCCUUUAAUCCUCCGUGGUCACCCGUGGUUGCCAUUUUAUGAGGUGAGAUCUAUAUUUGUGUUUCAUUUGGAUGGAUCUCCGCUUUAUUCUGGAGCUCCGAUGAAUCCGAAUGACUUUUCCUCUCAGAAGCUGCGAGAAAAGGAGAGGAUAGGAUUUAGACAACAACACGAGAGAAAGGGACGUGUUAAUAUUAAUGAUCGCUGUGCAUAUUACGAAACUUCACACGCUUAUUAUUAUUAUUAUUAUUAUUAUUAUUAUUAUUAUUAUUAUUAUUAUUAUUAUUAAUAUUAAUGCUUGGACGGCAUUAACAAAACACGUUUCGCACGAAAUCCUCUCACUAAGCACCAUUAUUUCAUCCUGACAUCCAUACUUACAUCCGUAAAGGGCCAAAAGAGCCUCAGCCCUCCUAAAAACACAUUUGUUGGAAGAUGAUGAGGAGGCGAGGAUACAGAUUUUCUUCUGCGCUCAAACCUUCGUCUUGAUUGUGAGGCGUGAUAAUCACAAAUCCGUCUCCGUCUCCAACGGGCGACCAUAUCCACAUCCAGCAUAUGCAUCCGUGCUCUGACGCACUCUGAGGAGGGCACUUUUUCCGGCUGCGUGCAUGUCGACGUGUUGUCUCAAUUCAACAGGAUCUGUUGGCACUUGAGCCUCAAUUUCUGCGGCACCGCUUCUGGGGAAUCAGGUGUUCACGCAGCGAGUUGGCAUCUACGAUGGCUCCACGCGACCGCGAGCAGAAGAAAACGAGGGUGGGUAAAAGUUUACCUUGGUUCGGGCGGAAAGGAACGGCCUCAGUCUGAGCAUCACACAUCUGUCUGUCUGCCGCUUUAGCUCUACCUAUCUCCUGUAUCCCUCCCAUUGUGUGUGUGUGUGUGUGUGUGUGUGUGUGUGUGUGUGUGUGUGUGUGUGUGUGUGUGUGUGUGUGUGUGUGUGUGUGUCGUGUACUGCAGCGCGCAGGCGGCGCUCGGUCCUCCCCCAGUGGACGCAGCCGGUACUGCGUACCUGCUGCAGUCUCUCAUCCACAAUUAUCUGCCCUUCAGCAUGCCUCCAUGGUGCCAAACUGACUUUUUUUCCUCAACAAAAAAAAAGUAUAUUUUUCCUUCAAUAAAGAUUGUUUUUCAUUUUUCUCUUAUUCCUCUUUCCAGCUCCUGGAAUUGUUUUUUUCUCCGAUAAAUGAACAUAUUUUACACAAUCUUAGCUAAGAUUUAACUGAAACAAUAAACCGAAUAAUUUUUUGGGAAUUAUUACUUGAAAACAUCAGCAGGGAUGCAUUUUGUGGUUCACAUGAACCUGAAUACAUUAUUUGCAUUAAACAUGUGUUUCAAUAACAUUUCAAUUAGUUUCCCUGCAGCCAAAAUAAGCUCUUUGUUUUCAACAUUAAUAAAUCGUUGCAUUCAUUUGCAUUUCCCAAGAGAGUAAACACCAUUAAUGCCGACUGUUUCUGCCUCCCUCUGGUGCAAGAUUAAAAGAGCACUCUUGAGGGAAUAGCACCUGUUCAGGAACUAAAAUCACUUCGGUUAUCUUGUUAGACCAUAUACUUCAACUUGUGGAUCAGACUCUAUAAAUCCAAAAGCUCUGCAGUGUGUGCGCAUCAUAAAAUAUUGACAGGAAGUCAAACUUUAAAUUAUUUGGAAUAGAAGGGGUUGUGAAACACAAUCAGUUAUAAAAUAAAUGAGACAUAAAAUAAAAAUGAUUCUACAGAAAUAUUUUCUCUUCAAUGGAAUUUUAUUGCAUGGUGAGAAGAAAACAUCUGACCUUGAAAACUAUUGAAAUAAAUACAUUUAAUCAAAAAUGUCAGUAAGAGUUAAAUUGCAACCAAAAAACAGUAAUUUUUUAAUCAAAAUCACCUAACUUUAUUCUGACUGAUAUCACUUGCAGUAAAUAAUAAAAGAUGUAACUCUUUAUGCAAAUGAACACCUCACAUUUAAAAAGUGGCUUUAGCCUAAAUAACACCAGACCUGAAUGAAGAGCAUCACUCAGUUUUUUGAACAAUGAUUAAAAAAAUAAACAGUCAGCCUGUUGAUAUGUAUUGUUUGUUUGUUUUGCACAAGAAGAAGCUAAUGGCAAAAAUAUGCUUCCUGCUCAAAUCUUGUGCAAACGUUUCAAACUUUUUUACAAGCUUUGUUUAAAUAUUGUAAACUGGGUGUUAUCAAUAGCAUUUUGAUGAUCUUUUAAAGUUAUUUUGCCUUUUAAUGCAUUUUCACUCAACGGCUUUAACCAUAACAAGAAGCAAAUAAGGCCUAAGAUUUUUUUAAUAGCAGAUUAUUCAAUUCAAUUCAAUUUUAUUUAUAUAGCGCCAAAUCACGACAAGAGUCGUCUCAAGGCACUUCACAUAAUAAACAUUCCAAUCCAGGUCAGUUCAUUAAGCCAAUCAGAAAUAAUGUUUCCUACAUAAGGAACCCAGCAAAUUGACUUUACAGCAAUCCUCAUACUAAGCAAGCAUAAAGCGACAGUGGAGAGGAAAACUCCCUUUUAACAGAAAGAAACCUCCAGAGAAUCCUGGCUCAGAAUAAGCAGCCAUCCUCCACGACUCACUGGGGAUCGAGAAGACAGAGCAGACACACACACACACACACACACACACACACACACACA
rnacentral:lncRNA from 1 species